CCUACGGGUGGCAGCAGUGAGGAAUAUUGGUCAAUGGGCGCGAGCCUGAACCAGCCCAGUCGCGUGAGGGAAGACGGUCCUAUGGAUUGUAAACCUCUUUUGUCGGGGAGCAAAAGACGCCACGCGUAGCGUUCCGAGAGUACCCGAAAAAAAAGCAUCGGCUAACUCCGUUCCAGCAGCCGCGGUAAUACGGAGGAUGCGAUCGUUAUCCGGAUUUAUUGGGUUUAAAGGGUGCGUAGGCGGUCCGUUAAGUCAGCGGUAAAAUUGCGGGGCUCAACCCCGUCGAGCUGUUGAAACUGGCAGACGUGAGUUGGCGAGAAGUGAGCGGAAUGCGCGGUGUAGCGGUGAAAUGCAUAGAUAGCGGGCGGAACUCCGGUUGCGAAGGCAGCGUACCGGCGCCAGACUGACGCUGAGGCACGAAAGCGUGGGGAUCGAACAGGAUUAGAUACCCUGGUAGUC
rnacentral:rRNA from 1 species